GAUGAACGCUGGCGGCGUGCCUAAUACAUGCAAGUCGAGCGAACGGACGAGAAGCUUGCUUCUCUGAUGUUAGCGGCGGACGAGUGAGUAACACGUGGAUAACCUACCUAUAAGACUGGGAUAACUUCGGGAAACCGGAGCUAAUACCGGAUAAUAUUUUGAACCGCAUGGUUCAAAAGUGAAAGACGGUCUUGCUGUCACUUAUAGAUGGAUCCGCGCUGCAUUAGCUAGUUGGUAAGGUAACGGCUUACCAAGGCAACGAUGCAUAGCCGACCUGAGGGGGUGAUCGGCCACACUGGAACUGAGACACGGUCCAGACUCCUACGGGAGGCAGCAGUAGGGAAUCUUCCGCAAUGGGCGAAAGCCUGACGGAGCAACGCCGCGUGAGUGAUGAAGGUCUUCGGAUCGUAAAACUCUGUUAUUAGGGAAGAACAUAUGUGUAAGUAACUGUGCACAUCUUGACGGUACCUAAUCAGAAAGCCACGGCUAACUACGUG
rnacentral:rRNA from 1 species